ACACUGAUGGUGAAACGGUAUCAUGCUUGCCUUCCACUAACGUGUCUGUGCAAUUAGCAAGCGGCGUGGGUUCGACUCCCGCUCAGUGUA